GGAUUAGAUACCCUGGUAGUCCACGCUGUAAACGAUGGAUACUAGGUGUUUGGGAAGUUAACCUCCUGAGUACCACAGCUAACGCGUUAAGUAUCCCGCCUGGGGAGUACAGUCGCAAGGCCGAAACUCAAAGGAAUUGACGGGGGCCCGCACAAGCGGUGGAGUAUGUGGUUUAAUUCGAAGCAACGCGCAGAACCUUACCUACCCUUAACAUUCAACGACCGCUACAGAGAUGUAGUUUUCUCUUCGGAGACGUUGGGAUAGGUGCUGCAUGGCUGUCGUCAGCUCGUGCCG
rnacentral:rRNA from 1 species